AGCAACCAUUGCCAUGAGCACAAACAACGAAGUAUGACAGCCACAUCCCGAAUGAGUGCGUUUCUUUCAGCAGGCACAGACAACCUCAAGCAUCGAUCCAUCAUCCGACGCUGUGAGAAUUAAAAAAAAUAUCCAUCAUACUCCACUAUUACAUUGCAGUAGCAAACAGGAUCUCCUUAAUGAACAACACGCACCCCUUCCGGACUAUUCAAAUGAGCUCUUCGGCAGCCCUUCAGUGUCAAGCACAUGACAGCACAGAUGAAUCGGAAAUUAAUUGAGCAACUCAAUUCAUAGGAGGAUCCACCAUAGAAAAACUUCUGAUCAAUCCAUCAAAAUUUGUUCCUCUUUAGCAUCCGAAACGGAGCGAAAAAAAAAUUCACUGCACUGUUCUUCAGAGGGAAUAAAUCACCGUCACUUCUCAGCGAGUAUGCUGCCAUCUUCCAGCCAGAGUGUCAUUCCACGAAGGCAGCUUGAAACAGCGAUGAAGCAAUUUCUACGGAGGGAUCUGCCGACGAAAGUAGCCAAAUAUCCUGCUAACCAUCCUUCUCAACCGCAUCAGCCGUCUUGAAAGAAUCAUUAAAAAUCGUAUAUAAAAAUGAUGUCGCCGAUGCGGACAAGUUUCUCACAG